ACGCUUACCUGGCAGGGGAGACACCAUGAUCACUGGUUUUCUCAGGGUACGGCUUCUUUAUUGCACCUGGAAUAGGCUGACCUCUACGGUUUCCCUGAUUGUAGGAGACUUGGCUGCAUAGUUUGUAGUAGUUGAGGACUGUUCACACCCUCCC
ensembl:snRNA LOC120095427 U1 spliceosomal RNA